UCUCUUUAACAAUGAAAGCAAAAUAAUUUGGAAAUCCUCAGCAGAAAAGAUAUCACUGAGUCCACCAAAUCCCUCCAUCACUCCAAACGGAACAUUAACACCAGAAGGAAAAGCACCACCACCUGUAACGGGCAUAGCACCAACAGAAGAGAACAUGCCAAAAUCACCCAAAAAAAGAGGAACAAAAUUGGUGGUGGUAGCAGGAGGAUCAACCGCUGGUGGGCUUCUGAUUCCCUACAUCACUCCAAACGGAACAUUAACACCAGAAGGAAAUGCAGCCUACAUCACUCCAACAUACAUCACUCCAACAAACCGAACAUCAACACCAGACGGAAAUGCACCCUACAUCUCUCCAACAUACAUCACUCCAACAAACGGAACAUCAACACCAGAAGGAAAUGCACCCUAUAUCACUCCAACAUUCAUCACUCCAACAAACGGAACAUCAACACCAGAAGGAAAUGUACCCUACAUCACUCCAACAAACGGAACAUUAGCACCAGAAGGAAAUGCACCACCACCUGCGACAGGCAUAGCACCAACAGAAGAGAACAGGCCAAAAUCACCCAAAAAAGGACGAACAAAAUUGGUGGCGGUAGUAGCAGGAUCAACCGCUGGUGGGCUUCUGAUUAUCUGUAUUGUAAUUGUGUUGUAUAUUGUGAAAGUUCGGAGGAACGUAGGGGAGGAGGAACAUUUGGAAGAUGACAUGAAACAAGUUCCUGGAUUACCUGUGAGGUUUUCAUAUGAAGAUUUACAGAUUGCGACAGAAGAUUUUAAAGAGAGAAUUGGAGGAGGGGGGUUUGGAACUGUGUUCAAGGGGGUUUUAAAAGACGGCAGUAAAAUUGCUGUAAAGCGUCUGGAUAGAAUGGAGCAGGGGAUGAGGGAGUUCGUAGCAGAAGUUGAGACCAUCGGUAGCUUGCAUCAUUUCAAUCUUGUGAGAUUGAUUGGCUUUUGCGUAGAGAAAUCCUGCAGGCUUCUUGUUUAUGAGUACAUGAGCAAUGGCUCCUUGGAAAAAUGGAUUUUUGUCAGAGAUCCGAGACCUUGUCUUGACUGGCAAACUAGGAAGAAAAUAAUACUUGAUGUAGCCAAAGGAUUGACUUAUCUGCAUGAAGAUUGCCGGAGAAGAGUGGCACAUCUUGAUAUAAAGCCACAAAAUAUUCUCUUGGACGAAAAUUUCAAUGCCAAGGUUUCUGAUUUUGGGUUGGCUCAGCUAAUCGAGAGAGACGAGAGCCUAGUGCAGGCAACAAUGAGAGGAACUCCAGGAUACAUUGCUCCGGAAUGGAGGAAAUCAAAAAUCAGUGUCAAAGUUGACAUAUAUAGCUUUGGAAUUGUACUUCUUGAAGUGGUCAGUGCUCGGAGAAACUUAGAUCGUUCGCGAUCAGAAUCUAGCUGCCAUCUCCUCAGACUGCUGCAGGAGAAGGCCAAGGAGGACAGACUGUUUGACAUCGUGGAAAGUUUCGGCGAAGAGGUGGAAAAUCAUAUGGAUGAAAUGAUAAGAAUGAUUAAGAUUGGAGCCUGGUGUUUGCAGAAUGAUCCCGGAAAACGGCCGUCAAUGUCAACCGUGGUGAAGGUGUUGGAAGGAGUAAUGGAAGUAGAUGCAAACGUCAAUUACAAAUUUGCACAAGCAAUGCCAUAUGUUUCCAUUGUCAAUAGUGAUCAUGUCUCCUCCAGGCCAACAGAAUCUGUUCUUUCUAAUCCUAGAUGAACAUUCAUUUUCAGGCACGUUCAUCAUUGAGAUUUGAGUGCAGGCCAAAUUCAUUAAUGAGUAUGUUGUAAAAUCCAUAAGAGUACUGAUAUGGCUGGAAGAAUCGCUGAAGAAGUUCUUAAGCUUAAUCCUCGGGAUGCGGCUCCUUAUGUGUUGUUUUCUAACAUUCAUGCUUCUGCUAAGAGGUGGCAGGGUGUUUCCGAGUUGAGAGAGGCCAUGAGAGAGAGGAAUGUGAAGAAGGAACCAGGUGUAAGCUGGUUAGAAAUAAAGAAUCAAGUUCAUCAGUUUACCAUGGGCGACAAAUCUCAUCCAAGUUCGAUGGAGAUUGAUUUGUAUUUGGAAGAACUAACAUCAGAGAUGAAGCUACGGGGCUAUGUCCCUGAUACGGGCGCUGAUAUGCAUGACAUGGACAAUGAGGAAAAGGAAUAUAAUUUGAAACACCAUAGUGAAAAGCUUGCAAUUGCGUUUGCUCUGAUGAACACACCCACGGGUGUACCAAUAAGGGUGAUGAAGAACUUGCGCGUCUGCAGUGAUUGCCAUGUUGCUAUUAAGUACAUUUCAGAAAUUAAAAACAGAGAAAUUAUUGUUCGAGAUGCCAGUAGAUUUCAUCAUUUCAGAAAUGGGAAAUGCUCUUGUGGAGAUUACUGGUAAGAAGAUGACUCUUUGCUCUCAUAGUUGUAAACUCUACUUCCAAAAGAUUGGUUUUGUAAACUUUAAAUCAAAAAGGAAAUAAAAGAGUAUUCAUACUUCUUUGAUUACCAAUUUCAAGCUGAAUUAGGAAAAGUCCUUUUCUUUUCUUUGUGAUGUUUUUCCAUAUCCAGAAAAUUGAUUAUGAAAUUUACAAACAUACUUAAUUUGUUUUGAAUUAUUAAAUUUAGUCAAAUAUAAGAAUCGGGUUUAGACCAGUUCUAUUACACGGCAGACCGAAUGUUUGAACUCAUUUAGAGCGGUCUAAGCAUUUUUUUAAAUAAUAGUUUGACUCAAAUAAUAAUUUAUUUAGAUUAUGCCCAAAAGCUGUGAAGAAAAUAAGGCUGUAGGUUGUCUUCAAUCUUAAAAUGUUAAUUGACCUGUUAGGCCAAGCAUGCAUGGGAAAGUCUGAUAUCAGUUUCAGUUGCUUUCUAGAUUUUACUUUUAUAUGUUUGCUUUUGUGGAAGUCAUAAACGCUUCGUCAAAGUCUCAAAGACGUGUUGGACAAUAAUUAUAGCUGGCAAAUGGCAAUCACGACUCUUCCAAGAAAUAAUCAUGAAAGGAUACAAAUUUAAUAUUGAAUAAGUCUUCCAUUAAAUUAAAUGUAACUUGAAAGAUUGUCUACUUAGUAUUCCCUGAUUGUAUGAAUCCUUAAGAUGAUAUGCAUAUAUUAUGUCCAUUUUUUAGUGUGUGAUGUUGCUCAUGUGAGAUAUUAAUACGCGAACACGUCGUUUGCGUAUUAAAUUUAGUAUUUAAGCACUAUCAUUCACUAGUUAUUGUGUGUUCAUCGCACGCGCACGCACACACAAGAUGCAUCGAUGCACACUAUUAGGAGACAAUUUGUGUUAGAUCGACAAUUUCCCAAUGUUUUACCGCCACAAAUUUUGUGUUACACUUCAUAAUAAAUAUAUGUUAAAUUGAGUAACGUUACACCUUUUCAAGUUUUGUGUUAUACUUCACAAAAUGGUCAUUCUAAUUCCAUGUGAUAUUUCUCAACAUUUUUAUCACAUGUCGUACAACGAAAACAAAAAUCACAGCAAAGUUGGAGCCGAAAGAACAUACUGAGACAUGAAUAUACUUUUCCAUGAAUCAUCGAAUAGAGACGAAUGAUAUUUAUGUAGCUUGCUUGACUUAAAAUGUCUUCGUGACCCUUUUUUCUCAUCUCUCUCACCCAAUUCCAAACACACAGAUCAUGGCUAGCUGCAGCCUCCACUGCUUGUUUCCCAUUCUCUCCGUUCUUAUUAGCGUACACAUCGUCCCAACUUCGGCUGCAACAACGGGAAAUUGUUCCGUAAGGGCCAGCAACAUUUACUGUUUGGAUUCAGGCCUUCCCUCUACAUGGUACAACAACAACUCUGUCAUCAUGAAUGGAUGGCAGAUGAGAGUAUUCCUCUUAUUACAGGACGCCGGUGAUUUUGAUUUUUAUUGUGGGUUUUACUGCAAUGGCACCUGCAACUCUUAUGUUUUUUCAGUUGUUGCCGUUAGAGAAAACGAUCACAGAGUGGUCUGGUCAGCUAACAAAGACCGCCCGGUAAAAGCAAACGCGAUGGUGCAGCUAAAGACGGACGGUUUGGUGCUGAGAGAUUCGGAUGGCACCCAGAUAUGGGCGAGCAACCACUCAGGUAACUCCGUUCACUGGAUGAACCUUGACCCGGAUGGAAAUCUUUCUCUCUUUAACAAUGAAAGCAAAAUAAUUUGGAAAUCCUCAGCAGAAAAGAUAUCACUGAGUCCACCAAAUCCCUCCAUCACUCCAAACGGAACAUUAACACCAGAAGGAAAAGCACCACCACCUGUAACGGGCAUAGCACCAACAGAAGAGAACAUGCCAAAAUCACCCAAAAAAAGAGGAACAAAAUUGGUGGUGGUAGCAGGAGGAUCAACCGCUGGUGGGCUUCUGAUUCCCUACAUCACUCCAAACGGAACAUUAACACCAGAAGGAAAUGCAGCCUACAUCACUCCAACAUACAUCACUCCAACAAACCGAACAUCAACACCAGACGGAAAUGCACCCUACAUCUCUCCAACAUACAUCACUCCAACAAACGGAACAUCAACACCAGAAGGAAAUGUACCCUACAUCACUCCAACAAACGGAACAUUAGCACCAGAAGGAAAUGUACCCUACAUCACUCCAACAAACGGAACAUUAGCACCAGAAGGAAAUGUACCCUACAUCACUCCAACAAACGGAACAUUAGCACCAGAAGGAAAUGUACCCUACAUCACUCCAACAAACGGAACAUUAGCACCAGAAGGAAAUGUACCCUACAUCACUCCAACAAACGGAACAUUAGCACCAGAAGGAAAUGUACCCUACAUCACUCCAACAAACGGAACAUUAGCACCAGAAGGAAAUGUACCCUACAUCACUCCAACAAACGGAACAUUAGCACCAGAAGGAAAUGUACCCUACAUCACUCCAACAAACGGAACAUUAGCACCAGAAGGAAAUGUACCCUACAUCACUCCAACAAACGGAACAUUAGCACCAGAAGGAAAUGCACCACCACCUGCGACAGGCAUAGCACCAACAGAAGAGAACAGGCCAAAAUCACCCAAAAAAGGACGAACAAAAUUGGUGGCGGUAGUAGCAGGAUCAACCGCUGGUGGGCUUCUGAUUAUCUGUAUUGUAAUUGUGUUGUAUAUUGUGAAAGUUCGGAGGAACGUAGGGGAGGAGGAACAUUUGGAAGAUGACAUGAAACAAGUUCCUGGAUUACCUGUGAGGUUUUCAUAUGAAGAUUUACAGAUUGCGACAGAAGAUUUUAAAGAGAGAAUUGGAGGAGGGGGGUUUGGAACUGUGUUCAAGGGGGUUUUAAAAGACGGCAGUAAAAUUGCUGUAAAGCGUCUGGAUAGAAUGGAGCAGGGGAUGAGGGAGUUCGUAGCAGAAGUUGAGACAAUCGGUAGCUUGCAUCAUUUCAAUCUUGUGAGAUUGAUUGGCUUUUGCGUAGAGAAAUCCUGCAGGCUUCUUGUUUAUGAGUACAUGAGCAAUGGCUCCUUGGAAAAAUGGAUUUUUGUCAGAGAUCCGAGACCUUGUCUUGACUGGCAAACUAGGAAGAAAAUAAUACUUGAUGUAGCCAAAGGAUUGACUUAUCUGCAUGAAGAUUGCCGGAGAAGAGUGGCACAUCUUGAUAUAAAGCCACAAAAUAUUCUCUUGGACGAAAAUUUCAAUGCCAAGGUUUCUGAUUUUGGGUUGGCUCAGCUAAUCGAGAGAGACGAGAGCCUAGUGCAGGCAACAAUGAGAGGAACUCCAGGAUACAUUGCUCCGGAAUGGAGGAAAUCAAAAAUCAGUGUCAAAGUUGACAUAUAUAGCUUUGGAAUUGUACUUCUUGAAGUGGUCAGUGCUCGGAGAAACUUAGAUCGUUCGCGAUCAGAAUCUAGCUGCCAUCUCCUCAGACUGCUGCAGGAGAAGGCCAAGGAGGACAGACUGUUUGACAUCGUGGAAAGUUUCGGCGAAGAGGUGGAAAAUCAUAGGGAUGAAAUGAUAAGAAUGAUUAAGAUUGGAGCCUGGUGUUUGCAGAAUGAUCCCGGAAAACGGCCGUCAAUGUCAACCGUGGUGAAGGUGUUGGAAGGAGUAAUGGAAGUAGAUGCAAACAUCAAUUACAAAUUUGCACAAGCAAUGCCAUAUGUUUCCAUUGUCAAUAGUGAUCAUGUCUCCUCCAGGCCAACAGAAUCUGUUCUUUCUAAUCCUAGAUGAACAUUCAUUUUCAGGCACGUUCAUCAUUGAGAUUUGAGUGCAGGCCAAAUUCAUUAAUGAGUAUGUGAUCCACUGUUUUGUGUUCAUGAGAUUUGAUUUUUAAGCUUGUUUUGAGUUCUGUUAAUUGUACAUUGUGCCAUUUUUCUCCUUUGGCAUUUCAGUAUAAUAUGCCGGAUAUGCUUCAUUUUUUUUUCCUCUCUCACAAUCUGUUAGAAUUGUAAUGGAGAAAAAGAACCAGCAUUUUAUAUUUGUCACUUGAGUCAAGGAUUCAAGCUUACUCAUCACUUCAGCUGUGCAAUAAAUAUUACAUUUAGCUUUGAUAUUGCAAGCAGAAGCAGAGUAACAAGGAAAAGAAAAACUGGUAGUAGCAAUAGGCAAUUAAAUUUAUAGGAACAAACUUAAACCGAAGAGAAAUAGUAAAAAAGGAACUAAAAUGAAUCCAGAAGAAAGAAAAUAUGCAAAACAGUUUCAUGUUUGUAGGAGGAAUAAACAUUAAUACUUUGCUGCCAAAACAAGACACUCUGCGCAAUUAACAUCCUUUACUUGUUGACAAAUUAUUUCUAAUCUCUAUGUAAAUGUCAUUAAUAAACGGAUGUGCAUAUGCGAGGGUAAAAUUGACUUUGCAUUCAGAUUUCUCAAAAAUUAUAAUACAAAAUUUAGGGGAUCUUGAUAAUUAUUUUCUCAAAUUUUAGGAAGUAUAACUAUUCUUUUCCUUAAAAUUCGAAGAGAAAAAAAAAACUAUUUUUCAACCCCAAAUAUUCAUCUACUAAUUUUUUUAGGGCAUUAUAAGUGUCUAUUUGAUAUGACUUAUCUAAUGACCACAACCAAGUGCUUAUUUAAUCUCAUAAACUCUUAUCAUAAUUUUUGUUGUUAUUUGGUUUUUUUUAGAGCUUUUAGAGCUUAAAUAAAUUAUUUUUCUCUACUAGUAAAAGCCCAAAUUUUAGAUUUUUGGGAAUUGAGGUUGAAAUUUUUUUUUAAAAUGUUAAAAUAUCCAAAAUAUUUUUUUAUUUAUUUGACAAUAUUAUUUUAUUUUUUCAUAAGAUAACUUAAAAAACUUACCCAUUAAAAUAAUUUCAUAAAUUUUUAAUAAAAACUCUUAUUGACUAUGAAAAAAUUAAAAUUUUUUAAAUGAAAGCUUCAUUUGUAAAAAUUUUAUUACCAAAAACUCCACUUAAAUAAAUUCUGUUUGAAAAAUUAUACUAAAUAGAGUCUAAAUCUUUGAUUCUCCGUUAAAAAAAGAAACAAAAAGAAAAUAAUUUUUAUGUAAUGUCCUUUUAAUUUAUUGAAAGAUAAAAUUGUAAUUUAAAAGUCAGUUAACUGUGGAAACAAGACUGUAACAAGAUAUUUAUCAAGCAAAUAAAUGAACCAUUAGGAUAAAAGAAGGAGAGAUUUUACUUUAUCACUACAUGGAUACAAAAGUUAAUUACCAGAGUGAAGGAGGAAAAAAAAUCUAUAUCAAAAUUAAUUAUAAAGAUUUGCAGAGAUUUGUUGAAAAAGAAAGUGGAUCAAUAUACAAGUGGUGGGAGUUACUUUUCGGUAUUAUUUAGAAGGCUCUUGCUAGAUUCUUGAUCUUGCCAACCCAAAUCCAAAUCACUUCUUGCCCAAACAGGUAAUUUAAUAAUCCUGUUUUUGCCUUCUCCGUCAAUUAUUCCUCCAACAAUUUUCAAUAAAAUUUAGGCAUUUUUUUUUCCUUUUUGCAGAUGGUAACCACAUUUGGAAUGUCUGAAAUUGGCCCAUGGUCGCUCGUGGACGGAUCACAGAGUGGUGAUGUCAUCAUGAGAAUGAUGGCAAGGAACUCAAUGUCUGAGAAGCUUGCUGCAGACAUCGAUGCCGCAGUCAAGAGACUAUCAGACCGUGCUUAUGAGAUUGCGUUGAGCCAAAUAAGGAACAACCGUGAAGCCAUUGACAAGAUCGUGGAAGUUCUUCUUGAGAAGGAAACGAUGUCAGGGGAUGAAUUCCGGGCAAUCCUCUCAGAGUUUGUCGAAAUCCCAUCUGAAAAUAGGGUUGCUCCAGCUGUUCCAGCACCAUUAUCUGUAUCUGCUUGAGUAGCAUUAAUAUUAUCCAUAAUUGAAAUUUCAGCCACUCUUUGAACGCAUACACUUGAAUGUAUAAUACUCUGUAUUCUUGAUCAAAUGUAAGUAGGAUUGUACACUAACUCAAAAAGUCAUGAUUGAGUAAAUUUCUAAAGUUUUGCUCCUGAUUUUUGAAGCAUAAAAUCUCAGCGUUAUCCACAGGUGCAGACUAAUUAUCGUUAUAAGUUUCGGAAUCAUACGAAAUCAGCUCAACUUAAAAACAGCAUCAGUACAUGUCUGGCCUUCGUGAACUCAAAAAGUCACGAUUGAGUAAAUUUCUAAAGUUUUGCUCCUGAUUUUUGAAGCAUAAAAUCUCAGCGUUAGCCACAGGUGCAGACUAAUUAUCGUUAUAAGUUUCGGAAUCAUACGAAAUCAGCUCAACUUAAAAACAGUAUCAGUACAUGUCUGGCCUUCGUUUUUUCUCCAAGACUGCCACGGAAGUUGUCGCAAAUUUCAUUGACUCAACAGAAGAAUUUAUCAACUUAUGCUCAAAAGGACACAUAAAGGAAGCCUUCAACAGAUUCAAAUCUGAAAUAUGGUCAGACCCAACUCUCUUCUCUCAUCUAAUCCAAUCAUGCACGCUCAAAAAAUCACUUUCAUGUUCAAAACAGCUUCACUCUUUGAUAGUCACAUCUGGGUGUUCCUCAAACAAUUUCAUUUGCAAUCACUUGCUCAACAUGUACUCAAAAAUUGGGCAAUUACAAACAGCUGUUACCCUGUUUGGUCUCAUGCCGAGGAGAAAUAUCAUGUCUUGUAACAUUAUGAUCAAUGCGAAUGAGCAGAGCGGUGAUUUGGAGAGUGCACGGAAAUUGUUUGAGGGGAUGACUAAGAGAAAUAUUGCAACCUGGAAUGCGAUGGUUGCGGGAUUGGUUCAGUUUGAGUUUAAUGAGGAGGGUUUGAGAUUACUAAGUGAAAUGCAUCAAGUUGGUUUUUUGCCUGAUGAAUUUACUUUAGGUAGUGUUUUGAGGGGGUGUGCUGGUUUGAGAGGGUUAGAUGCUGGGAGGCAAAUUCAUUGUUACGUGGUGAAAGGUGGGUUUGAGCUGGAUUUGGUUGCUGGGAGUUCAUUGGCUCACAUGUAUAUGAAAAGUGGAAGCUUGGUAGAAGGAGAGAAGGUGAUUAGAUUGAUGCCUGUUUGCAAUGUGAUUGCUUGGAUCACACUCAUUGCAGGAAAAGCUCAAAAUGGGCUUGCUGAGGAUGUCUUGGAUCAAUAUAAUUUGAUGAGAAUGGUAGGGUUUAGGCCUGACAAGAUUACAUUUGUGAGUGUGAUUAGUUCAUGUUCGGAAUUGGCAACAUUAGGUCAAGGUCAGCAGAUUCAUGCAGAAGUGGUUAAAGCUGGGGCUAGUUUGGAUGUUGGGGUGAUUAGUUCGUUAAUUAGCAUGUAUUCGAGAUGUGGGUGUUUGGAUGAUUCAGUGAAAGCUUUUCUGGAAUGUGAAUACUCGGAUGUCGUUUUGUGGAGUUCAAUGAUUGCUGCUUAUGGAUUUCAUGGAAAGGGAGAGGAAGCUAUCAACUUGUUUGAGCAGAUGGAGCAGAAAGAAUUCGAGGCAAAUGAUGUUACUUUUGUGAGCUUGCUGUAUGCUUGCAGUCAUUGUGGUCUGAAGGAAAAAGGGAUGGAAUUCUUUGAUUUGAUGGUAAAGAAGUAUGGUCUGAAGCCUAGAUUAGAACAUUAUACAUGUGUGGUUGACCUACUUGGCCGUUGUGGUUAUUUAGACGAAGCAGCGGCUCUGAUAAGAAACAUGCCAGUCAAAGCCGAUGCUAUCAUAUGGAAAACUUUGUUAUCCGCAUGUAAAAUCCAUAAGAGUACUGAUAUGGCUGGAAGAAUUGCUGAAGAAAUUCUUGGACAUAAUCCUCAGGAUGCGGCUCCUUAUGUGCUGCUUUCUAACAUUCAUGCUUCUGCUAAGAGGUGGCAGGGUGUUUCCGAGUUGAGAGAGGCCAUGAGAGAGAGGAAUGUGAAGAAGGAACCAGGUGUAAGCUGGUUAGAAAUAAAGAAUCAAGUUCAUCAGUUUACCAUGGGCGACAAAUCUCAUCCAAUUUCGAUGGAGAUUGAUUUGUAUUUGGAAGAACUAACAUCAGAGAUGAAGCUACGGGGCUAUGUCCCUGAUACGGGCGCUGAUAUGCAUGACAUGGACAGUGAGGAAAAGGAAUAUAAUUUGAAACACCAUAGCGAAAAGCUUGCAAUUGCUUUUGCUGAACACACCCGCGGGUGUACCAAUAAGGGUGAUGAAGAACUUGCGCGUCUGCAGUGAUUGUCAUGUUGCCAUUUAAGUACAUUUCGGAAAUUAAAAACAGAGAAAUUAUUGUUCGAGAUGCCAGUAGAUUUCAUCAUUUCAGAAACGGGAAAUGCUCUUGUGGAGGUGACUCAUUGCUCUCAUAGUUGUAAGCUCUACCGACAAAGAUUGGUUUUGUCAACUUUAAAUCAAAAAGGAAACAAAAGAAUAUUCAUACUUCUUUGAUUACCAAUUUCAAGCUGAAUUAGGAAAAGUCCUUUUCUUUUCUUUGUGAUGUUUUUCCAUAUCCAGAAAAUUUAUUAUGAAAUUUACAAACAUAUUUAAUUUAUUUUGAAUUAUUGAAUUUAGUCAAAUAUAAUAAUCGGGUUUAGACCAGUUCUAUUAAACCGCAGUCCGGAUGUUUCAACUCAUUUAGAGCGGUCUAAGCAUUUUUUAUUUUUUUUUUAAUACUGAUUAAUCAUCAUAUUACUGCAUUACACAGAUAUUUACAACUGCUAUUAUAGUAGAUAUAUUACACUGAUAUUUACAAUCAGAAAUACAUGAUUGAGACUUAUAUUAUUACAUUAAAUUCUGUGAAAUACAUGCCCAGAUAAAUAAUCUCUUACAAAAGAGAAAUGUCCAUACUCCACUCGUAUUGCACGGUCUAAGCAUUUUUUAAAAUAAUAGUUUUGACUCAAAUAAUAAUUGAUUAGAUUAUGCCCAAAAGCAGUGAAGACAAUAAGGCUGUAGGUUGUCUUCAAUCUUAAAUGUUAAUUGACCUGUUAGGCCAAGCACAUGUAAGAAAGUCUGAUAUCACUUUCAGUUGCUUUCUAUUUUUUUACUUUUUUAUAUUUUCUCUCGUAGAAGUCAUAAAGGCUUGGUCAAAGACGUGUUGGACAAUAAGUAUAGCCGGCAACCACUGCUCUUCCAAGAAAUAAUCAUGGAAUCAUACAAAUUUGAUAUUGAGUAGGUCUUCCAUGAGUUGCAUUUACUGUAACUUAUAAUCACGGAAAGUAAGGUUAAUAUGUGAGACCCAUUCCACUUGCCUCACUUAUUUAUUAUUUAUUUUUGUGUUAUUUUUAAUAAUUGUAAGUUAUAUUGACUGUAGCUUAAAGAUUGUUCAUUUAUUUUUUAAUGUGUGAUGUUGCUCAUGUGAGAUAUUAAUACACCAACUUAUUGUUUACACAUUAAAUUUAGUAUUUAAGCACCAUUCGCUAGUUAUUCUGUGUUCAUCGCACACAUACAAAAGAUGCAUCAAUACGCACUAUUAGGAGACAAUUUGUGUUAGAUCGACUCAAAUGUUUUGCCGCCACAAAUUUUGUGUUACACUUCAUAAUAUAUGUUAAAUCGAGUAACGUUACACCCAAAAAAGAAAAAAGAAAUUCAUAGCAAAGUUGGAGCCGGAAGAAAGAAGAUUCUGAUACAUGAAUACACUUUUCCAUGAAUCAUCAAAUAGAGACAAAUGCCGUUUAUGUAGCUUGCUUGACUUAAAAGUCUUCGUGACCCUUUUUUCUCUUCUUCUGCCGUCUCCCUCACCCAAUUCCAAACACACAGAUCAUGGCUAGCUGCAGCCUCCACUGCUUGUUUCCCAUUCUCUCCGUUCUUAUUAGCGUACACAUCGUCCCAACUUCGGCUGCAACAACGGGAAAUUGUUCCGUAAGGGCCAGCAAUAUUUACUGUUUGGAUUCGGGCCUUCCCUCUACAUGGUACAACAACAAUUCUGUCAUCAUGAAUGGAUGGCAGAUGAGAGUAUUCCUCUUAUUACAGGACGCCGGUGAUUUUGAUUUUUAUUGUGGGUUUUACUGCAAUGGGACCUGCAAUUCUUAUGUUUUUUCAGUUGUUGCCGUUAGAGGGAAUGAUCCCAAAGUGGUCUGGUCAGCUAACAAAGACCGCCCGGUAAAAGCAAACGCGAUGGUGCAGCUAAAGACGGACGGUUUGGUGCUGAGAGAUUCGGAUGGCACCCAGAUAUGGGCGAGCAACCACUCAGGUAACUCCGUUCACUGGAUGAACCUUGACCCGGAUGGAAAUCUUUCUCUCUUUAACAAUGAAAGCAAAAUAAUUUGGAAAUCCUCUGCUGAAAAGAUAUCAUUCAGUCCACCACCACGUCCCCCUAUCACUCCAAACCCAACAUUAGCACCAGAAGGAAAUGCACCACCACCUGUGACGGGCAUAGCACCAACAGAAGAGAACAGGCCAAAAUCACCCAAAAAAGGAGGAACAAAAUUGGUGGCAGCAGUAAAAAAAAAAUAUGUCAAUGUAAUAUAACAUUGUCACUAGUAUUAAAAGUACUUACAGAAACAACAUGCAGUAACAAUUAUCAAUAUUUUAUAAAAAUUUUAUGUGAAUUUUCAGAUUUUAUUUAUUAGUUAUAUUAACUAAGAGGGCAAGUUAGAAAAUAAAAUUUGAGUAUUUUAAGGAGCUUUUGAUAGAAGAAUUAACAACAUCUAGUUUUUUAAAGAGAGCUAGAGCUCCUGACAAAGAAAUAACUGCACCCAAAUACAUUUUUGCUGAAUUGAGUUUAGUUUAUUAUUGAAACUUUUGACUAAUAAUACCUUUACAAUUUGAAAGGAUGAAUAAAUUUUAAUUGUUUAAUUUAUUAAGUUUAGUAAUUAAGUACUUCACCUCAAACAUAAAAGUGUUACUUGUAAUUUUUAAUUGAUUGUAAUUACAUGUAUAGAUCUAUUUUAAUUUGAAAUUCUUAAUUGAUUUUUUAAUCCUUAUAUAAUUAUAUAUUAUUAUAGGCUGCAAUGUCAGAUUCUAUAAUUGAAGAAUAGUGUUUUCAUAUUCGAGUUAUCUUUUGUUUUUUACUCUUUUUCUAUAAUUAUUUUUGUUUAUAGUUCAUAUUUAGAGAGAUAUUAAUAUACUUAUUUUUAUUUAUUUUUGUUUAUAGUUCAUAUUUAGAGAGAUAAAAUUUUUGGUAUUCCUCCUUAUUUAAUAUACUUAUUUUUAUAUAUAAAUUUUUAUGUUCGCUUCAAAAUAUAAAUUUUAAAAUUUAACCCCGAAUAAUAUUAAGUCCUGGAUCCGCCCCUGCAGAUAACUCCGUUAACUGGAUGAACCUUGACCCCGAUGGAAAUAUUGCUCUCUUUAACAAUGAAAGCAAAAUAAUUUGGAAAUCCUCUGCUGAAAAGAUAUCAUUCAGUCCACCACCACGUCCCCCUAUCACUCCAAACCCAACAUUAGCACCAGAAGGAAAUGCACCACCACCUGUGACGGGCAUAGCACCAACAGAAGAGAACAGGCCAAAAUCACCCAAAAAAGGAGGAACAAAAUUGGUGGCAGCAGUAGCAGGAUCAACCGCUGGUGGGCUUCUGAUUAUCUGUAUUGUAAUUGCAUUGUAUAUUGUGAAAGUUC
rnacentral:lncRNA from 1 species